GCCAGUGGUAAUAGUACGUUGAAUGCACCAGCUCCCAAAGGAUGUUUAACAACUCAAGUUAAGCAACGUUACGCGUGGUUAGUAUCUGGAUAGGUGAUCACUGGGCAAUCCCGUGCUGCUGGCU
rnacentral:rRNA from 1 species